CAGAAAUGGGAGUUCUUUGCAGCCCAAAGCUUCCAAGCACAAGUUGCUUUGGUUUUGGACUGAAGGGAGCUCCUACUUCUU
rnacentral:pre_miRNA from 1 species